GGUGGUGUAGUUCAAGGGAAGAAUGAUAGAAUCAUAAUCUGGAGGGUAUGGGUUCGAAUCCCGUCGCCAUCA
rnacentral:tRNA from 1 species